AGCUUUACGCAGUGACAGUUAUCAUAGCCAAUGAAGUUAAUCCAAGGCAUGAUUAUUGCUAAUUGAAAACAUUUUCCAAUACCCUGGCCAUGAUAACUUGAAAUAUAAUUGGCAGUGGCAAUUUUUGACAGUCUCUACAAAGA